GCAAACAAACAAAUAAUGACAUUUGAUUCAAUAAAUUACAUUUUUAUUAAAUAAAAUUAAUUUACAUGAAAGCUCAUAAAUUAGCUCCUCAUCCAUCAUUAACAGCAGCAGAUCCUCAUUCAUUCACCGUCAGGGUCAGAGUCAGGUCAGGGUCAGAGUCAGGGUCAGAGUCAGGCCACUUCACUACAAUAAUGGAACAGAAAAUCAUUUUACCUGCUGAACGUCUGGCUGCUGGAGAACCGCUCAGGAUUUUAUCCAAAAGCACCACUGGAACCAGAACCACUAGAACCAGAACCACUAACGUCUGGCUGCUGGAGAACCGCUCAGGAUCUCAUC